rnacentral:misc_RNA from 1 species
GGGGUUUUUGAUUUUUAGCUGAAAAAGUGAUUCGUGUGUGAUUUGGAGAAGGGAAUGGCGUUUAUUUCUACUCCUCCAGCUUCAUUCUCUGGUUCUUCGGCAUCUGAUCUUCUUCGGAGCUCGAGUAAUGGCGUUAGUGGUAUUCCUUUGAGGGCACUAGGGAGAGCGCGAUUCAACCCAAGAAGGAAGGAUAUGUCAGUCAGUGCCAAGUUAAGG